rnacentral:rRNA from 1 species
GACGAACGCUGGCGGCGUGCCUAAUACAUGCAAGUCGAACGCAGUGGGGACGGGGGAGGAACACGUGGGUAACCUCCCAUCAGAGGGGAUAACACUUGGAAACAGGUGCUAAACCGAUACUGAUGGAUGGACCCGCGGUGCAUUAGCUAGUUGUUGGGGUAACGGCCUACCGAGGCCACGAUGCAUAGCCGACCUGAGAGGGUGAUAGGCCACACUGGGACUGAGAGACGGCCCAGACUCCUAGGGGAGGCAGCAGUAGGGAAGCUGGGGCAAUGGACGAAUGGGUGACCGAGCGAUGCCGCGUGGGUGAAGAGGGUUUUCGGAUCGUAAAACUCUGUUGUUAGAUAAGCGGUAGCUAACCAGAAAGCCACGGCUAACUACGUGCCAGCCGCCGCGGUAAUAC